rfam:Cephalotus follicularis DNA, scaffold: scaffold2156, isolate: St1.
GGGUGCGAUCAUACCAACACUAAGGCACUGGAUCCCAUCAGAACUUCACAGUUAAACAUGUUUAGAAGAUAUUUAGUAAGUUUAUACAUACCAGCUCUAUGAGCAAAUUUUUGUAUGUAUCCA